AAAAAAUUUGUAAUCUUUUUUUUCAACACUUAAUCAGCAUUAUCGUUUCUUUAAAAAAUAUUCAAACUUGUGAUAUACUGUUAUCGACAACAAAUUGAACUUAUUAAUGGUCUUUGAUUAGUGGCACCAUCUUUUCAAUAUACGGAAGUUUUUUAUAUUAUCGACAAUAAAAUAAAUUUAGAAAAGAUGCGGUUUUUGUAAAGUUAAUCAUAAUUUGUUAAAGGAUUCAAACGAUACGAUUUUCAUUUCGACGAUUGUAUUUCUAUAAAUCUUAAAUUUUAUUUGAAGUUACAAAAUUUAUUGGAAUAAAAAUUACACAAGUUUAAUAACUUUCUAAGAAAAAAGUUAAGUAAUAUGCAUCAACUAUGUGAAGAAUAAGUUUGUAAAUA